rnacentral:lncRNA from 1 species
AGUAAGAUCUGAGAGGAGCUCCAUCAUGGCUGCCACAGAGACUCGGAGAAGUGAGAAGAGCUAGGCAGCUUCCUCUUUAUCCAAAGGAGGCCGAGAAGAAGGAAGUGAUUCCAGAAAGGUAUCACCAUUCCUCAGUUACGAAACCCAAGUGAGACCACAAUAUCCUGACUUCCAGUCUAGAGCUAUCUGUAAUGCAAUAAAUCUCUUCACAGGAGCAUAUACACUGGGAACGGGAACUCUCACAGGAGAUUCUCUCCCUUGUUGAUUGGAAAAAGCCAGCUGCCAUGUUGUGAGUAUCCCAUUUAAAAGGGCUAUAUGGCAAGGAACCGAGGGCAGCCUUCAGCUGACAGCCAGCAAGAAACCAAGAUCCUCAGUCUGGUAGCUUGCAAGGCACUGAAUUCUGCCAACAACUGCGUGAGCUUGGAAGUGGAUCCUUCCUCAGUUAAGCCUUGGACAAGACCCAAGCCCUGUUGGACGCUUUAAUUACAGCCUUGCAGAGAACCCAGCUAAGGCAUGUUCAGACCUGAUCCACAGAAACUGUGAGAUAAUCCAUGUGUGUUGUUUUAAGCCUCUAAGUGUGUGGUAAUUUGUUACACAGCACUGGUUAGCUAACACAGAUACCUAGACAGCUGGUAAAGCAUUAUUUCUGGAUGUGUCUGUGAGGGUGUUUCUGGAGGAGAUUGGCAUGUGAGUCAGUGAACUCUGUGGGCAAGAGCUGCCCUCAAUGUAGGUGGGCACCAUCCAAUGUUGUUUUGUUGUAUCUAGGGGCCCAGAUAAAACAAAAAGGCAGAGGAAAGGUGAAUUCACUCUCUCUCUCCUGAAGCUGGGGUACUUUUAUCUCUUGCCCUUGGACAUCAGAACUCCAGGUUCUCUGGCCUUUGGACUCUGGGACUUGCACCAGCUCCCGGCUUCUCAGGACUUCAGCCUCAGAUUGAGAGUCACUCCAUUAACUUUCCUGGUUUAAAAGCCUUUAUACUUGGACUGAGAAACACCAACAGCUUCCCUGGGCUUCCAACUUGCAGAUGACCUAUCACAGGACUUCUCAGCCUCCAUAAUCGCAUGAGCCAAUUCUCCUAAUAAGUCCCCUUUCACAUAUCUAUUUAUCUACAUACGUAUAUCCUACUGGUUCUGUCUUUCUCAGGAACCCUGACCAAUAUAGUAUGUAUCUCUAAAAGAUAAGGACAUCAAAAAAUAUUACCGCGUCUAAAAAUAAAGUGAUUUCUUAACGUCAUGAAAUAUCCAAUUGCUCUCCAAAUUUUCACAAUUACAAAAGUCCACAUGUUGCAUUUAAUUUUAAUGCCUCUUAAUUCUCCCUUAAUUUUGAGAUUGCCUUUUAAGUAAGGCAGUUUAGCUCCCUAGUUUCACUCUAGCCCAUCCAAGGUGUUUCCAAAAACCUCACCUUCACACUAACCACAUCCAUUAUAAGCUGCUUCUUAAACGAUGAGAGCUCUCACUCUCUAAAAGGAAUUCUAAGCAUACCUCUUAAAGUAAUAACAUAUUAUAUCUCUACUAAGUUUAUAAUCAUAAAGAAUGUGGGUAUUUGCAUUCUCAUUUUACAGAUGGGAAAAUUAGUGUAGGUAACACAUAUAGAGAGGUGAUAAAUAGCAAUGGUUUCCAAGAAUGAUGACGAUUUCAGUGUGAAACAGAGAGUAGCAAUGGCAAGAGAUACAGCUAAGUAAAUGUGGAUGGUGAGGGACCCAUUCUGCCUUGUUAAAAGGUUUGAACCCACCCUAUAGACAAUAAAUCACUCAGUGAAUCACUGAGCAAUUUUAAUUAUGGAAGCAAUGUGAUCAGAUUUAUAUUUAAGGCAAGAGGAUUGGUGGCAAUGUAGAAGGCAAACACAAGUCAGAAAGAGUUAGAAGUAAGAAAAGUGAGUAGUCUGAAGAAAUUGGACACAUAAGAGAUGAGGGGGCUGGAAUGACUAACUAUGCAUCUUAUUCUGAAAUAUGUCUCUUAGGUAAUUGAUUAUUGAUACCCCACAUCCAAAUAGUGGGACAGUUAACUGAGAUGUCAGAGCCAGCCUUUUCAACACUUCUAGAGAGAAAUUUUGCAAAGACACAUCUCUUGUACCUCCAUGGACUUUUAAUACAGAUAUGUUUAUCAUAAGAUAACCUUCUAAAGAGCUCAUGAUAGCAUAUGAUCAAACUCCUUAUUGUACAGUCAGGAGGAAUCAGCCUUGUUGAAGGAAGGGGCUUACCCAAAGUUACAAGUUGGGACAAAAUUUUUGCUUCCAAUUCACUGCUGUUCUUACUAGAACUGUUUUCUCCAGUCUCAUAGAAGUUCUGAGAAACAAUUAGGCCCACACUAUCAUCAACAGGCAAAUAUGUGUGCCUGACCAGACAGACAGAGAGGUAUUUUGAGAGAGGCCAGGAAUGAAACUGGUGAAGAGGCCCAGAGUUUCAAUCCUGUUCUCACUCAAGAUUCAUCAUCAUCAUCAUCUUUACUAUAAGGAAGAGGGCAUUUAAAAGCACAAAUGAGAUUGUUAGUGAUAAAAAGGUACUUAUACACCAGCCAAUUCCAUCCUCCAUUUUGCUGAGGCUCAAAGAGGUACAGUGACUUAUCUUCGGUUAUGUAUGCAACUAUUGCAGAGCUGGAUAUUGGACUUAGGCCUCCUGAAGCCCAGCACUGUGCCUGCAGGAGCAUUCCCAACUCCUGUCUUUCUGCUCAAUACAUGGGGAAGAGACGAACAAUUUAGGCUACUCAAAAUGUGGUGGGCAUUUGGGCUCUGGGGAGAGCUUCAGCAUCUCUUCUCUCUUUUCAUGUUCUCCAACUCCUCAAGCAACAUACACACAUAGCAUAAAGAUCACUAGCCAGCUAUUUUCUGUCUUGAAAAAUUUUUAUGAUAAGAGUUUUCUAAUUAGGGAAAGCCACAGUUCAUACACAAAACACAAAUUACUAGGCUCUUUGUCUUUUUCAGAAGAAGUAUUAAUCCAUAAAUAAAUAUACUCUGUUGCCAAGUCACUACCAUGCUGUAUCACAUGGCCAAAGGAUGCCAAAAGGUAUGAGCUCUUGGUGAAUCCCAGCUAUUGACAGCCAGGUGCUGGACCUUAACCAGAGGCAUUGCUAUAGGUGGUUAAGUAUAUGGGCUCUGGUCAGUGGUGACAAAGUUCCUGGGUUCAAAUCCCAACACCCCCAGUUACUAGUUAUGUGACCUUGGACAAGUUGAUUAAAAUCUCUGUACUUCAACUCCUUUAUUUGUAAUAUGGAAAUGAUUUUUUAAAUUACCUAUCUUCUGGGUCUAUUGCAAAAUUAUCUUAUUUAAUAAUAAGAUAAUCCACUUAAGGCACUAUAUGUGAGUUUUUGCAUGUAGUGAGCACUUGAACCAAUAGAGUAUAUUUCCUUUUGAAUGUAAGAAAUUCACAGAGACAGCUUCUCUAUAGUAAAGGUAAGAAUCAAAACUGAGUUUCUAUAAAUUACUUUGUAUUGCUUAGAGAAAGAAGUCAUGGCAAUAGAUUGAAUAUAUUUUAAUUUAAAGUAGAAAAUUAUAUAGGAAAAAUAGAUAUAUCUUCCAGAGCUCAGUCUCAAAGGCCACAUUUUCUUUUGAGUAUUUUAACCUCCAAAACAUACUUAGUAUGUGGUGAAAUUGCCUACUUCUGGGUUGAGUAAUGUGAGCUAUCAUUACCAUGGUAACAACAAGGCCAAUAACUUGAACUCCAGUCAUAGUAGCUACAAUAAAGGGGACUCAGUUUGGAAAUAAUUAGAAUCCAUCCUUUUUGAGACUGAAAUUCAUUGCCUUUAAGACUCAAUCAACAUUCCUGGUGGUAGUCUGGAAUCAGCUCAAAUCAAGAUACAUCUAUCUUUAAAAAGAAUAUAGGACAAGAAAUCCAAAAUAGGAAAAAAAUCAAAUCAUCUUAUCUUUCUGGUGCAUUUACUAGUCUGAUGAGUCAUAAGAAAAUAAUAACCCAGAGGUUAGAAACAAAGACAUAAGCACAAUUCCUUUCAUUCCAUGGGUAAAAUUGAA